ensembl:lncRNA
CCUUUGCGGGUCUGAAACUGGCCGCUGCGCACGGGGCGGAGUCGGGGCCGGGAGCGCGCCCCCUCCUGCGGCAGGACGCGCUCGGGGACCGAGUCUCGUUACAGUCAGGACUUCUGCUGGGCAGGGUCAGCUGUUAAUCCUCAAGGCGGAUACCGGGGCGGUGGGGAGAUGGGGCAUAUGGGUGGUGUCCGUCGGUGAGAAACACCUAGCACAGAAAAAGGGUGGCGGCGAGAGGGAGUUCCCACCUGUUGGCGUUCUUCCAGAAAUAAAGACUUGAGAAAAUACCAAGGAGGGGCCGAUCGGUGUGUUUCGGACGCGCCUAGAACCCCACCCUCGGUCAGAGGAAAAGCUCCUGGGGUGAGACGCAGGAGCUUCAGAAAAACCAAGAAGAAAAGCAGCUCCCUCCGCGCGCCACGUCCUCUGCCUCGCACUCCUGCGCGGCCGGCCCAGCCUGCGCCUGGCCCGCGGCCCUUCGCCUGGCUGCGCCUUCCCACCCCGGCCUUCCGGGUGCCUCAGCCGGCGACCUGCCUCCGAGUCCUCCCAUGGCGGUAGCGCGACCCACAGGCUCCGCGAGCGGAGCCCUUUGCUGGCAACUCCUGCUGACCCUCGCGAUCUUAACAUUUGCCUGUGAUGCCUGCAAAACAGUGACACUACAUGUUCCCUCCAAACUAGAUGCUGUAAAAUAUAUUGGUAGAGUUAACCUGAAGGAAUGCUUUAAAUCUGCAAAUCUAAUUCAUUCAAGUGAUCCUGAUUUCCAAAUUUUAGAAGAUGGUUCAGUCUAUACAACAAAUGCCAUUCUUUUGUCCUCAGCGAAGAGAUCUUUUACCGUAUUACUUUCCAACACAGAUACCCAAGAAGAGAAGAAAAUACUUGUCCUUUUAGAGCAACAAACAAAGGUACUGAGGAAAAGGCGUUCUCAAGAAAAAGUUCUAAUACGUGCCAAGAGAAGAUGGGCUCCUAUUCCUUGUUCAGUGUCUGAGAAUUCCUUGGGUCCUUUCCCACUUUUUCUUCAACAGAUUCAAUCUGAUACAGCACAAAACUACACUAUUUACUAUUCCAUAAGUGGGCCUGGAGUUGACAAAGAACCUCUAAAUUUAUUUUAUGUAGAGAGAGAUACUGGAAACCUGUUUUGUACUCGUCCUGUAGAUCGUGAAAAGUAUCCAUCUUUUGAGCUAGUUGCCUUUGCAACAACUAAGGAUGGAUAUACUCCAGAAUUUCCACUGCCCCUACUAAUCAGAAUCGAGGAUGAGAAUGAUAACUUCCCAAUUUUUACAGAAACAACUUACAUUUUUAAUGUUUCUGAAAACUGCAGAGUUGGUACUACCGUGGGACAGGUUUGUGCAACUGACAAAGAUGAGCCUGACACACUGCACACGCGUCUAAUGUACUCCAUCAUCGAGCAGUUACCAGCAUCACGCACCCUCUUUUUUAUGCAGCCAGCUACAGGUGUGAUCACCACAACAUCAUCUCAGCUAGACAGAGAGGUAACUGAUAAAUACCAAUUGAAAAUAAAAGUACAAGACAUGGAUGGUCAAUAUUUUGGUUUGCAGACAACUGCAACUUGCAUCAUUAAUAUUGGAGAUGUGAAUGACAACUUGCCAACAUUCAACCGUUUAUCUUAUGAGACAUCAGUGGAGGAAAAUAUAAUUGAUGUGGAAAUCUUACGUGUUGCCGUUACGGAUAAGGAUUUAAUUAAUACUGCUAAUUGGAGAGCUAAUUAUACCAUUUUAAAGGGCAAUGAAAAUGGAAAUUUUAAAAUUGUAACAGAUCCCAAAACCAAUGAAGGAGUUCUGUAUGUGGUUAAGCCACUGAAUUAUGAAGAAAAACAAGAGAUGACCCUACAAAUCAGUGUAGUUAAUGAAGCUCCAAAUUUUGCUAGUUCGAGAUCAACCAUGAGCAUGGCGACAGUCACUGUUAAUGUACAAAAUCAGGAUGAAGGCCCUGAGUGUCGCCCUGCAGUGCAAAUUGUUCGUAUUAAAGAAAAUGCACCAGGGAGCACAAAGGGCAUUGGAUAUAAAGCACAUGACCCGGAAACAAAUAGUAGCAGUGGCAUAAGGUAUAAGAAAUUAAGUGAUCCAGAAGGAUGGGUCAGUGUUGAUGAAAACUCAGGAUCAAUCACAAUUUUAAGAAGCCUGGAUAGAGAGGCAAGGACCAUCAGAAAUGGUAUAUAUAAUAUUACAAUCCUUGCCUCAGACAAAGGUAAGAACUUUAGAACAUGUACUGGGACACUAGGGAUUAUACUUGAAGACGUGAAUGAUAACGGCCCAUUCAUACCUCAAAAGACGGUGAUAAUCUGUAAAACUGUCAUGUCAUCGGCGGAGAUUGUGGCCGUAGAUCCCGAUGAACCCAUACACGGCCCACCCUUUGACUUCAGUUUGGAAGGUGUUUCUGAUUCAGAAGUACUUAGAAUGUGGAGACUGACAAAAAUUAACGAUACAGCAGCACGUCUUUCCUAUCUGAAUGACCUCCAGUUUGGAGAAUAUACAGUACCUGUCAGAGUUGCAGAUAGGCUUGGCCAAUCACUUGUCACUCAGUUAAAGGUGAUAUUAUGUGACUGUGUUACCCAAAGUGACUGCGACAUUCGCUCAUCUGUGAUUCCCAGAAGACUGAUACUUGGAAAGUGGGCCAUCCUUGCAAUAGUGUUGGGCAUAGCAUUGCUAUUUUGUGUCCUAUUUACCUUAGUCUGUGGGGCUACUGGGGCAGCCAAAAAGCCAAAAGUAUUUCCCGAUGAUUUAGCCCAGCAGAACCUCAUUGUAUCAAACACUGAAGCUCCCGGCGAUGACAAAGUGUAUUCCACCAACGGCUUCACAACCUAUACUAUGGGAGGCUCCACUCAGGGAAUUUGCAGCACCCUGGGAUCCGGAGUGAAAAACGGAGGGCAGGAGACCAUUGAAAUGGUGAAAGGAGGGCAGACCGUUGAGCCCUGCCAGGAGGCCGGGCAUCAUCACACCCUGGGAUUGUGUAAGGGAGGUGGACAGCACACCCUGGAUUCCUGCAGAGGAGGACAAGUAGAGGCAGACAACUGCAGAUACGCAUACUCCGAUUGGUACACCUACACUCAGCCCCGUCUUGGUGAAGAAUCCAUUAGAGGACACACUCUGAUUAAAAAUUAAACAAUGAAAGAAGGUCCAGCUGUGUAAUCAGGAUAACAGUCAUACGCAUGCACAAGACUACGUCCGGACGUAUAACUAUGAAGGAAAAGGAUCGGCGGCUGGUUCUGUGGGUUGUUGCAGUGAACGACAAGAAGAAGAUGGGCUUGAAUUUUUGGAUCAUUUGGAACCCAAAUUUAGGACACUAGCAGAAGCAUGCAUGAAGAGAUGAGUGUGUUCUAUUUAGUCUACAAAAGCCAGUGGCUUUAAUUGUCUCUUUUAAAUUAUUAUUACAAGCCAGGAUUUUUUUAAAAAUAGAAGAUGCUGUUUUGGGGGCUUUUCCCCUUUAUUUUGUUGAGAUCUCUUUAGCCACAUGUGCUUUUACAGAGGGAUGCUGUGAACAACUACACAAAUUUCCUGAUUUUUCCAUAGUUUUUAAAUACUUGUCUUCCACCUAAGGACACCUGCAGAUAGACAAGUUGAGACAGUCUGCAUUAUUGUUUACAUUUGGGUAUAGUGACAGCAGCCAAUUUGUAGUGCAAUAAUAUGUAAUUAACUCAAGUCUAUAUCAUAGACUACUUGGAGUAUAACCGAAUGGAAAAUUGAAGAGGUCUUGCUCUAACAUUAUCUUCAGUUACCUAAAUUAAUUGUUUGUGUGGUGCUUGAAGACUGUUGUUCUCCUAAACAUUCUAAAGUGUAUACACUGCAUUCUUGCUAUUGUUUUAGUCUUGUAACAUGACCUUGCUUCAUAAAGCAAAGGGAGAUUCCCAACUAAGCGUUGACUGUUAUUAUAAUUCCACUUUGGUGGACUUUAGUUUUUGUGUUGUAUUCUCUGUGAAAUCCGGCACUGAAUCUACAUUUCCUCUGUUACCCACCUUCUCCGCAAAAUUUAAAUUAAAAAAAUGCUGAGGAAUGUAUUUUUUACUCCUGCAAGGUUUUGGUCUUUGGUCCCCGCCACUCCCCACCACCCCUUCUGUCUGCCUCUCACCCUCUCUCUUCCCUCUUUCCCCCUCUCCCUCUCUUUUUCCCUCUAUCUCUCUCUUUCUCUUCUUUUUUGUUCUUAAAAUUCCGAUUUGGGUUGGAGAAUCUAAGUAUGUUUAAAAGCCGCCUCUUUUUCCCUCGCUUAUAAAGUGACUUAUUCUGUGUUUCUGUUUUAUGUAAGCACCUGUAUUCUUGGCUUUUCUUAAAAUCAAUGUAAUGUCAAUUUUUUUGUUUCAGCUAUUUUGGUGAUUGCUUCAUUAUCUCCUCAACAAAGACCCUUUACUUUUGCCAUUCAACUGUAGAAGCAUGUCAUGCUUUUAUUUGAUGCAACACUCUAUGUUAACAAAAGGAAUAGUGUAAUUAAAAUUAGUUUAGUAUAAAAUAGUAUAUUUACAGUUCAUUAUUGCAAGGAUACAGUUUAUAAAUGCAAAAUAGUGAUUUUUUUGAAAUAAGCUUUGCAGUACAGGGAUUGUGAAAUCUCUAGGAAUAACUUUUAUAGCUUUUUAGAUCAGGUGGCUAGUUAUAGCUAUGUGUUUGUAAAGUUUUUUUUUUUUUAAUAUUUUGAGAUUACAGUUUUUUAACAAAUGUCGAACUGGUUCAAACUAUUUAAAUUUUGAAAUAAUAAGACAAAAUUAAACUUAAUAGCCAACCAAAUUCCAGGCUACAUUUCACAGCUGAUUUCAGUCAAUGAAUUUUCUAUCCGUACUAACCAUAUGGACAUUUUUAAAGUAUUUCUGAUAUUUAGGAUUGUUAAUAAUAUGCCUAUUUUGAAUUCACAGGAUUGGCUUAUAACAAUUAUUUUUAAAAAUUAACACUGGGUAAUUUAUUCAAUAAUCAGUUUAUCUUUUCAAUAGUUUCAUCACUACUCAGUCAAAAAUACUAUUUCUCAAAGUUAUUUUUAAUAAAUUAUGUAUAAAAUUCUUGUAUAUUACUAGU